rnacentral:rRNA from 1 species
GAUGAACGCUGGCGGCGUGCCUAAUACAUGCAAGUCGAGCGAACAGACGAGGAGCUUGCUCCUCUGACGUUAGCGGCGGACGGGUGAGUAACACGUGGAUAACCUACCUAUAAGACUGGGAUAACUUCGGGAAACCGGAGCUAAUACCGGAUAAUAUAUUGAACCGCAUGGUUCAAUAGUGAAAGACGGUUUUGCUGUCACUUAUAGAUGGAUCCGCGCCGCAUUAGCUAGUUGGUAAGGUAACGGCUUACCAAGGCAACGAUGCGUAGCCGACCUGAGAGGGUGAUCGGCCACACUGGAACUGAGACACGGUCCAGACUCCUACGGGAGGCAGCAGUAGGGAAUCUUCCACAAUGGGCGCAAGCCUGACGGAGCAACGCCGCGUGAGUGAUGAAGGUCUUCGGAUCGUAAAACUCUGUUAUUCGGGAAGAACAAAUGUGUAAGUAACUAUGCACGUCUUGACGGUACCUAAUCAGAAAGCCACGGCUAACUACGUG